AUUGAACGCUGGCGGCAUGCUUUACACAUGCAAGUCGAACGGUAACAGGUUAAGCUGACGAGUGGCGAACGGGUGAGUAAUGCAUCGGAACGUGCCCGGUCGUGGGGGAUAACGCAGCGAAAGCUGCGCUAAUACCGCAUACGAUCUAAGGAGGAAAGCGGGGGACCGUAAGGACUCGCGCGAUCGCAGCGGCCGAUGUCAGAUUAGGUAGUUGGUGGGGUAAAGGCUCACCAAGCCAACGAUCUGUAGCUGGUCUGAGAGGCCGAACAGCCACACUGGGACUGAGACACGGACCAGACUCCUACGGGAGGCAGCAGUGGGGAAUUUUGGACAAUGGGCGAAAGCCUGAUCCAGCAUUGCCGCGUGCAGGAAGAAGGCCUUCGGGUUGUAAACUGCUUUUGUACGGAGCGAAAAGGUCUCCUCUAAUACAGGGGGCUCAUGACGGUACCGUAAGAAUAAGCACCGGCUAACUACGUGCCAGCCGCCGCGGUAA
rnacentral:rRNA from 1 species